AGGCUAGAGUGCAGGAGAGGAAGGUAGAAUUCCCGGUGUAGCGGUGAAAUGCGUAGAGAUCGGGAGGAAUACCAGUGGCGAAGGCGGCCUUCUGGACUGACACUGACACUGAGGUGCGAAAGCGUGGGUAGCAAACAGGAUUAGAUACCCUGGUAGUCCACGCCGUAAACGAUGUCGACUAGCCGUUGGGUCCCUCGCGGACUUUGUGGCGCAGUUAACGCGAUAAGUCGACCGCCUGGGGAGUACGGCCGCAAGGUUAAAACUCAAAUGAAUUGACGGGGGCCCGCACAAGCGGUGGAGCAUGUGGUUUAAUUCGAUGCAACGCGAAGAACCUUACCUACCCUUGACAUCCUGCGAACCCUUCGGAGACGAAGGGGUGCCUUCGGGAACGCAGAGACAGGUGCUGCAUGGCUGUCGUCAGCUCGUGUUGUGAAAUGUUGGGUUAAGUCCCGUAACGAGCGCAACCCUUGUCCUUAUUUGCCAGCGGGUAAUGCCGGGAACUCUAAGGAGACUGCCGGUGACAAACCGGAGGAAGGUGGGGACGACGUCAAGUCAUCAUGGCCCUUACGGGUAGGGCUACACACGUGCUACAAUGGUCGGUACAAAGGGUUGCCAACUCGCGAGAGUGCGCUAAUCCCAUAAAGCCGAUCUCAGUCCGGAUCGGAGUCUGCAACUCGACUCCGUGAAGUCGGAAUCGCUAGUAAUCGUGAAUCAGAAUGUCACGGUGAAUACGUUCCCGGGCCUUGUACACACCGCCCGUCACACCAUGGGAGUGGACUGCACCAGAAGUGGUUAGCCUAACCUUCGGGAGGGCGAUCACCACGGUGUGGUUCAUGACUGGGGUGAAGUCGUAACAAGGUAGCCGUAGGGGAACCUGCGGCUGGAUCACCUCCUUAAACGACGA
rnacentral:rRNA from 1 species